GUUGGAUAAUCUGCCCUAAGGUGGAGGAUAACCUCGCGGAAACUGAGAAUAAUACUCCAUAGAUCUGGGAUGCUGGAAUGCACCUAGGUUUAAAGCUCCGGCGCCUAAGGAUGAGUCUGCGGACUAUCAGGUUGUAGUCAGGGUAAUGACCUGACUAGCCUACGACGGAUACGGGUUGUGAGAGCAAUAACCCGGAGAUGAUAUCUGAGACACGAUAUCAGGCCCUACGGGGCGCAGCAGGCGCGAAAACUUCACACUGUGCGAAAGCACGAUGAGGGAAUCCCAAGUGCUUGCUCAUUAGAGUAAGCUGUUUCUAUGUUUAAAAUGCAUAGAGAGUAAGGGCUGGGUAAGACGGGUGCCAGCCGCCGCGGUAAUACCUGCAGCUCGAGUGGUGGCCGCUAUUAUUGGGCCUAAAACGUCCGUAGCCGGUUUAAUAAAUGCCUAGGUAAAUCGUGUAGCUUAACUAUACGAAUUCCGGGUAGACUGUUGGACUUGAGACCGGGAGAAG
rnacentral:rRNA from 1 species